AUGUGCUUGUCGUCGCGAAUGUUCGAUGGGAAGACACGCUCCUUCUCCAUUACCAGAAAGGCUUUCCCUGAAAGUAAAUAUGUCCUCCCUGUCCCAAUCUCCCGCCUAGCCCACCGUCAUCUCCCCCUUCUCCUAUCCUAUGCAACCGUCUCAGGUCUUUUGCUCAAGGUACCCUUGCUCCACUCUGUCCUUCGCUCACUCUCCUCAGGUCCUGUCCCAUCUCUCUCCCUCUCAUUCCUCUCCCUACUCCGCCGGUCUGGCUACAUGCCCAUCGAUAACUACUCCCUUAGCGCUGCUCUUUCUACCGCCGCCCGCAUGCCCUCCGUUGUUGUUGGUGCCCAGCUCCAUACCCUUUCUGUGAAACUCGGCUUAAGUUCUGAUAACUUUGUCCUUAAUACUCUUAUCAAUAUGUACUCGUCUUGUAGUUAUCCAUCUACUGCAAGAUCAGUUCUUGAUUCUGCUCCCAAAGGAGCCUCUGAUACAGUUUCUUGGAAUACAAUCAUUGCUGGAUACAUACAUGCUGGGCUGCCUAAUAAGGCAUUGCAGGCCUUUAGCCAAAUGGCCAAGGCGCAAGUUAUGCUGGAUGAAGUCACCUUGCUGAAUGCUCUAGUUGCUUGUGCAAGGACAUGCAUGAUGAAGGUCGGAAAGCUCUGUCAUGCAUUACUUGUGACAAAUGGUUUUGAGAUUAACUGUUAUAUGGGUUCCUCUUUGAUUAGUAUGUAUGCAAAGUGUGGGCUGGUUGAAGAUGCUCGCAGGGUUUUUGAUGGAUUGCCUGAGAGGAAUGCGGUUUGCUGGACCUCAAUGAUUUCUGGAUAUACACAGUUAGGUCAGUCUAAAGAGGCUGUUAAGCUAUUCAGAGACAUGCAGAUUGCUGGAGUGAAAGUUGAUGAUGCAACAAUUGCUACUGUUGUAUCUUCAUGCGGCCAGAUGGGAGCACUGGACUUGGGACGGUAUGUCCAUGCUUACUGUGACAUUCAUGGUUUAGGGAAGGAUAUUUCUGUGAAAAAUUCAUUGAUUGACAUGUACUCAAAGUGUGGGGAUAUAAAAAAGGCCUAUGAUAUAUUUUGUGGAAUGGUCAAGCGGGAUGAUUUUGCCUGGACAGUGAUGAUAAUGGGCUUUGCUGCGAAUGGCCUCUCUGGUGAGGCACUAGAUUUGUUUGCGCAGAUGGAAGAAGAGGGUGAAGUCAUGCCGAAUGAGAUAACUUUCUUGGGUGUCCUAACUUCUUGCAGCCAUGGAGGAUUAGUUGAACAAGGAUACCAUCACUUCCAUCGCAUGUCCAGUAUUUACGGUAUUGCCCCAAAGAUUGAACACUACGGAUGCAUGGUUGAUCUCCUGGGGCGUGCUAAGUUAUUGGCAGAGGCAGAACAGUUCAUUAAAGAGAUGCCUAUCGCUCCUGAUGUUGUAAUGUGGCGGUCGUUGUUGUUUGCCUGCAGAGCCUGUGGAGAGGUGGGACUUGCAGAGUAUGUAGCAGAAAGGAUCCAAGUAUUGGAGCCAAACAGGUGUGGAGGGGACGUUUUACUUUCUACUGUCUAUGCUACCACAUCAAGGUGGGUUGAUGCAAACAAAGUGAGGACAGGAAUAUACAGUAGCAGAAAGACCAAGCAGCCUGGUUGCUCUUUCAUUGAAGUGGAUGGAUGCGUGCAUGAGUUCUUUGCAGGGGACGAGUCACAUUUUGAAACUGAAGCUAUAUACAACACUCUUUUAGGGAUUAAUGAACUGUUAGUAGCAGAGUCCUUCCUGAUG
rnacentral:rRNA from 1 species